rnacentral:rRNA from 1 species
UACGUAGGGGGCAAGCGUUGUCCGGAUUUAUUGGGCGUAAAGAGCGUGUAGGCGGCCAGGUAGGUCAGCUGUGAAAACUCGAGGCUCAACCUCGAGCUGUCGGCUGAAACCAUCUGGCUAGAGUCCGGAAGAGGAGAAUGGAAUUCCCGGUGUAGCGGUGAAAUGCGCAGAUAUCGGGAAGAACACCCGUGGCGAAGGCGGUUCUCUGGGACGGUACUGACGCUGAGACGCGAAAGCGUGGGGAGCGAACAGG